UCCAAUCCUCGCUCUGUCCCCCGCAGGCUACGGGACCUUGGACAGUAGACUUAACCAUUCUGAACCUCCAUAUCCACAUCUGCAAAAUGGGAGAGUUCUAGAACCCACCUCAUACAAUUGUUGCCAGGAUCGAUUAUCCUAACAACGUGUCCUGAGUGACGUCAACGGGCCAGGCGUUGUUCUAGGUUCUGGAGACACGACAGCAGCCCACACAGGCAACACUCCUGCCCUCUCCGGACAUACUCCAGUGGGUGUGGGCAAAGUUCUCGGCAUGAGCUGUCCACAGGCGUCUUCCUCCCCCGUGUCACAGACAGGGACCGUGAGGCUCGGACAGCAAGUUUCCAGAGACUUCUGACCUCUUCUUGCCAUGUUGCCUUUUCUACUGUACGGCUGGACCAUCCACUUGCAUGGGGGAGGAACGUGUUUGGCUGCAGAUGCAAAUGUCUGUGAACGUUCUAAAUAUCGCACGUGAAGUUUGAAUCAACUUUGCUGUUUGCACCUGAAGUCCUCCUAACAGACACAAGCCUUGGGAAGGCAAGCAACGCGAGGUCAGGGAUUUUGUUUGCUUGGCUCGUGGAGAGAGCCCCACACCCCAUGUGUUUGGUACGUAGUCACCCAUCAUCAAGUUGAAGCUUGGGGCAUGUGAAGACGUCCCUGUGGAUUACAAGGUGGGGGGACAGGGGGACAAGGAAACCAAGCAGGAGGGACUGGAAUCCAAGAGAAACUCUCUCAGGUCACUGGGCAGAAACAAAUCUAUGAGCUCUAGUAACCAAGGACAGCUUAACACUGCGUGCAUCGUGAUUGAAAGAUUGUGUGAUCUCUUUCUCAGUUGGACCUAAUCAUACUUUUGUCUGUUAACUAAUAAGUUAACAACAUUUGACAUGGAAAGCCACUUGAAUUAUAAGUUAUGAAACCGUAAAUAAACGAAAUCGUGUCAAAAAACCCCCAAAACAAAAAACACAAAGCCCAGGCUUCGGGGAGAGCCAGUGGAAGGUUCCUGGAAAGCCUGUCUGAACUGACCGUGAGGGUUCGGUUAUUCCUGGCCCCUCGACCUCCAGGCCCACCUGCUCGUAAGUUUCAACUGAAACUUUACUUUGCGGGUCCUUACCCAGGCUCUGGGCAAGUAAGUUGACAAACUUGACUUUCAAUAUUCACUUUUUUUUUUUUAACGUUUAUUAUUUAUUUUUGAGACAGAGACAAAGCAGGAACGGGGGAGCGUCAGAGAGAGAGGAAG